rnacentral:ncRNA from 1 species
AUGAGCUCGGUGAAAUUGUGGUAUCGGUGAAGACGCCGAUUACCCGCAAUGGGACGGUAAGACCCCAUGCACCUUCACUAUAGCUUAACAUCGAUAUUGGGUACAGGGUGUGUAGGAUAGGCGGGAGAUGUUGAAGUGGCUUCGCCAGGAGUCAUGGAAUCAACCUUGAAAUACCGACCUUUCUGUAUUCGGUUUCUAACUCCUUAAUGAGGAGGACAUUGUUUGGUGGGUAGUUUGACUGGGGUGGUGGCCUCCAAAAAGGUAACGGAGGCUUUCAAAGGUAAGCUCAGUACGCUUGGUAACCGUACGCGGAGUGCAAUGGCAUAAGCUUGCUUGACUGUGAGACCGACAAGUCGAACAGGGUAGAAAGACGAACAUAGUGAUCCGGUGGUUCUGUAUGGAAGGGCCAUCGCUCAACGGAUAAAAGGUACUCUGGGGAUAACAGGCUGAUACCGCCCAAGAGUUCAUAUCGACGGCGGUGUUUGGCACCUCGAUGUCGGCUCAUCUCAUCCUGGGGCUGAAGCAGGUCCCAAGGGUAUGGCUGUUCGCCAUUUAAAGAGGUACGCGAGCUGGGUUUAGAACGUCGUGAGACAGUUCGGUCCCUAUCUACCGUGGGCGCUGGAAAUUUGAGAGGAUCUGCUCCUAGUACGAGAGGACCAGAGUGGACGAACCUCUGGUGUACCGGUUGUGACGCCAGUCGCAUCGCCGGGUAGCUAUGUUCGGAAGGGAUAACCGCUGAAAGCAUCUAAGCGGGAAGCCUACCUCAAGAUAAGAUUUCCCUAGGAAUUUAUUCCUCUAAAGAGCCGUUCGAGACUAGGACGUUGAUAGGUUGGGUGUGGAAGCACGGUGACGUGUGAAGCUGACCAAUACUAAUUGCUCGUGAGGCUUGACUAU